AGAACAGUGAUAUCUUCCAAGCUAUAAGAAGUGGAAAGCAUUUUCAAGUUUUUAUCAUCUUCGUUAGUCCUGGCCAUGGGCUGGUUCCAGUAUGUGGAACGGAGGACCCUGAACUGGACUGCAGGGUUUGGCUGGUUACAGUUUGAGUCAAUCCAAUGGUUGAAAUCUUUUUCAAAAUUUUCCCUUUUUUAAGAGAAAAUUGAACUGAACUGGAACCACCCGGUCCGGUUCCAGUUCAAGGGUGGGAAGGAAACUGUUCUGGUCUGGUUCAGGCCCGUGAAGCUUCAGUCUGGUUCCAAUCACUGGUUGGACCAGGCCAGUUCCGGGCCAAAACAGGACCAUGGGUGGGUCUGAUCUUCUCUACAACAUGUGCCUGCAAAUUUGUUCAAACACCUUUUAUAUGUGUUG
rnacentral:misc_RNA from 1 species